GCAAACUAGUUGCCAUCCAGGUUGUAGAAAGAGGAUGAACAUGCAUGCCCUAUCAUCCGAAAAAUGCACAGCUAUGAUGAUUCCUACUUGGCAUGCUGUAAUAGUUGUUUAUGACAUAAAUGUGAUAAGAUUGCCAUGUUUCCUUUUAUGUGAAAACAACAAACAAAUGGAAUUCAAAUACUGAAUAAUGAUGCGUUCUUAUUCGUGCAGUGACCAAAAACACAGUGCGAAAAGCAGAGAAAAUGAAUCAUGAAGACAGGACUGGUCCUUGGUUUUCUGGAAGGCCACAAGCGCCAUCUUGGGAUGCAAUAGAGUACAAUCAACUCAUUUCCGCAGGACCAUUGCAGCCACUUCUAGAGUAGUACGCGAGCUUAGGUUCUUAUGACACAAUCACACAGGUAGGUAUACCAUGGCAAGUUGGAACACAAGGGGCUAUCGGUGAUAGAUAUACAGGAAACCAACUUCAAGUAGCAAAUGUGUCAAAUCAAGGUUAUUAUGGUGCAACCACACCAGCAGAUGUCUCGUAGCAAGCUUCACCAUUGCAGGCCAUCAGUAAUGCAGAUACAAUGCACCAAAUUGAAGUGGCACACCAACUUCGAUUAGCACAUGUGGCACAACAAGGAGCUUCAGCUACAAUCAACAGCGGCGUAGGAACAUCUACUGCGAGAACCUCAGAGCACAUUGAAGGAGCAUUCCACGAGCAAGUCACCGAUGCUGCAACAAACAAUGCAGAAUCAGUGUCAGAUAUGGCAAUCGUUCCAGCAAUGACGACAAGCACGCCUCUGCAAACCAGCACAAGCAACACUCAAGCAAAUGAAACAUCCGCCAAUACUGAAGUGAAUGAUGAAACUGAUGACGAAACACAAGGAGAAGAAGAAGAUGGACAAUCGGAAAUCAUGAUACCUCAACCACCAUAUGUUGGGCAGAGAUUUGGUUCUUUUGAAGAUGCCAAGGAGUACUACCAGAGAUAUGCGAUGUUCCAUGGAUUUGCGUGAACACAUAAUACCAUAGGAAAAUUAAAAAACUAACGAGUACAACAGAGGUGAGAUAAGGUGCUACAAAGCACGAAAGAACAAGAAGAGUAAAGGUGUUGUGCAUGUCGUGCCUGAACGAAAGAGAGGCAUCAUUCUCAAGACGGGAUGCCCUGUCCGGUUGAAGCUAAACGCAAAUGGAGCAUGGUGGGUGUCACCAAAUAUUUCAAAGAACACAACCACGACCUCACAAAGAAGUUUGACCUAGUAAAAAUUCUGAGCGCCCACAGAGGAUUCAGCCGCAUCAAGAAGAAAUUCAUAAGGUUGCUACAUGAUUGUAACGUCGGUCCAUCAAGAAUGGUCCAAAUACGGUCCCUGGUCCACAGCGGAGAUGGUAGUCUGAGUAGCAUGCCCUACAUACCAGCAGAUGUCACAAACCUAAAGGCAAAGUACCGUAGAGAGAGCAGGUUGGAUGACAUAGAAGACACAAUAGGCUACUUCGAAGAGAAAGCAAAAGCAGAUAAUGAUUUCUUCUAUAGGAUAAGAUUGGACGAUGAGGACCAUGUCAGAAACAUGUAUUGGGUGGAUGGUGCUGCAAGAAGAGCCUACAAACAUUUCCGUGAUUGCAUUUCGUUCGACGCGACAUAUCUCACGAAUAUGUGCAAGAUGCCCUGUGAUCCAUUCAUAGGAAUAAAUAACCACAAUCAGUCCUUGCAGUUCGGUUGCGGUCUCGUUCAGAACGAAGAUACCGAUGGUUACAGGCUGUUCAAAACCUUCUUGGAGUGCAUGGAUGGACUUGCUCCGAUGAACAUAAUAACAGACCAGGAUGUUAGCAUGCGCGCAGGCAUAGAGGAGGUCUUUCCAUCGGCAGUGCACAGGCACUACAGGUGGCAUAUUAUUAAGAAGGAUGAAGAGACGCUAGGACCAUUCUUCGCUGACCGUCCAGAGCUACACAAGGCAUUCGAGUAGUGUGUGGACCACAGCUUGACGGUGGAGGAGUUUGAACAGAGCUGGACGACUAUGAUUGAAACAUACCAAGUCCAAGACAACGAGGCACUAAAUAGCUUGUUGGAGAAGCGAAUGUACUGGGUGCCGGCCAACUUCAUGCAGUGCUUCUUUCCAUUUCUGCAGACUACACAACACAGUGAGGGGUUCAAUGCUGUUUUGAAGCGUUACGUGAGCCGUGGCAACUCAUUGCUGCAGUUUGCCAAGCAAUAUUCAGCUUUGCAAUAGAAAAUACUGGGAUCUGGGCUACAACAAGAAGAAAACACCGCACUCAAGCAGCCUAAAUUGCUAACAUACUUACUGAUGGAGAGGCAGAUGAGCAAGAUAUACACCAACAAGAUAUU